UACGGAGGGUGCGAGCGUUGUCCGGAAUCAUUGGGCGUAAAGGGCGCGUAGGUGGCCCGGUCAGUCUUUGGUGAAAGCGCGGGGCUCAACCCUGCGUCGGCCAGGGAUACUGCCGCGGCUCGAGCACUGUAGAGGCAGGCGGAAUUCCGGGUGUAGCGGUGAAAUGCGUAGAGAUCGGCAGGAACACCAGUGGCGAAGGCGACUGCCUGGGGAGUAACUGACGCUGAGGCGCGAAAGCUGGGGGAGCAAACGGG
rnacentral:rRNA from 1 species